rnacentral:lncRNA from 1 species
GGUCACCAUUGCUAGAUGAUUAUAUCAAUUGGUAUAGAAACUUAUUCUUAUGCUACCAGCCUAGGUUCAAACCUAUGAGGUCAUACGUAUUAGAAGAUUUGGUUAGAUCAGAUGGCUGAAGAGUCCAAUUGGAUUGUGACUCUGCUGAAGAGUCUUAUUCGAACCAGGACUCUGAAGGAGAGUCCCACUGGGACUGAGACUCUACUUGUUACUCCUUGA